rnacentral:rRNA from 1 species
GACGAACGCUGGCGGCGUGCUUAACACAUGCAAGUCGAACGAAGAGCGAUGGAAGCUUGCUUCUAUCAAUCUUAGUGGCGAACGGGUGAGUAACGCGUAAUCAACCUGCCCUUCAGAGGGGGACAACAGUUGGAAACGACUGCUAAUACCGCAUACGAUCCAAUCUCGGCAUCGGGACUGGAUGAAAGGUGGCCUCUAUUUAUAAGCUAUCACUGAAGGAGGGGAUUGCGUCUGAUUAGCUAGUUGGAGGGGUAACGGCCCACCAAGGCGAUGAUCAGUAGCCGGUCUGAGAGGAUGAACGGCCACAUUGGGACUGAGACACGGCCCAGACUCCUACGGGAGGCAGCAGUGGGGAAUCUUCCGCAAUGGACGAAAGUCUGACGGAGCAACGCUGCGUGAGUGAUGACGGCCUUCGGGUUGUAAAGCUCUGUUAAUCGGGACGAAUGGUUCUUGUGCGAAUAGUGCGAGGAUUUGACGGUACCGGAAUAGAAAGCCACGGCUAACUACGUG